rnacentral:rRNA from 1 species
GGUUAAGCGACUAAGCGUACACGGUGGAUGCCCCGGCAGUCAGAGGCGAUGAAGGACGUGCUAAUCUGCGAUAAGCGUCGGUAAGGUGAUAUGAACCGUUAUAACCGGCGAUUUCCGAAUGGGGAAACCCAGUGUGUUUCGACACACUAUCAUUAACUGAAUCCAUAGGUUAAUGAGGCGAACCGGGGGAACUGAAACAUCUAAGUACCCCGAGGAAAAGAAAUCAACCGAGAUUCCCCCAGUAGCGGCGAGCGAACGGGGAGGAGCCCAGAGCCUGAAUCAGUGUGUGUGUUAGUGGAAGCGUCUGGAAAGGCGCGCGAUACAGGGUGACAGCCCCGUACACAAAAAUGCACAUACUGUGAGCUCGAUGAGUAGGGCGGGACACGUGGUAUCCUGUCUGAAUAUGGGGGACCAUCCUCCAAGGCUAAAUACUCCUGACUGACCGAUAGUGAACCAGUACCGUGAGGGAAAGGCGAAAAGAACCCCGGCGAGGGGAGUGAAAAAGAACCUGAAACCGUGUACGUACAAGCAGUGGGAGCCUCUUUUAUGGGGUGACUGCGUACCUUUUGUAUAAUGGGUCAGCGACUUAUAUUCUGUAGCAAGGUUAACCGAAUAGGGGAGCCGAAGGGAAACCGAGUCUUAACUGGGCGUUAAGUUGCAGGGUAUAGACCCGAAACCCGGUGAUCUAGCCAUGGGCAGGUUGAAGGUUGGGUAACACUAACUGGAGGACCGAACCGACUAAUGUUGAAAAAUUAGCGGAUGACUUGUGGCUGGGGGUGAAAGGCCAAUCAAACCGGGAGAUAGCUGGUUCUCCCCGAAAGCUAUUUAGGUAGCGCCUCGUGAAUUCAUCUCCGGGGGUAGAGCACUGUUUCGGCAAGGGGGUCAUCCCGACUUACCAACCCGAUGCAAACUGCGAAUACCGGAGAAUGUUAUCACGGGAGACACACGGCGGGUGCUAACGUCCGUCGUGAAGAGGGAAACAACCCAGACCGCCAGCUAAGGUCCCAAAGUCAUGGUUAAGUGGGAAACGAUGUGGGAAGGCCCAGACAGCCGGGAUGUUGGCUUAGAAGCAGCCAUCAUUUAAAGAAAGCGUAAUAGCUCACUGGUCGAGUCGGCCUGCGCGGAAGAUGUAACGGGGCUAAACCAUGCACCGAAGCUGCGGCAGCGACGCUUAUGCGUUGUUGGGUAGGGGAGCGUUCUGUAAGCCUGUGAAGGUGUACUGUGAGGUAUGCUGGAGGUAUCAGAAGUGCGAAUGCUGACAUAAGUAACGAUAAAGCGGGUGAAAAGCCCGCUCGCCGGAAGACCAAGGGUUCCUGUCCAACGUUAAUCGGGGCAGGGUGAGUCGACCCUAAGGCGAGGCCGAAAGGCGUAGUCGAUGGGAAACAGGUUAAUAUUCCUGUACUUGGUGUUACUGCGAAGGGGGGACGGAGAAGGCUAUGUUGGUACGGGCGACGGUUGUCCCGGUUUAAGCGUGUAGGCUGGUUUUCGAGCAAAUCCGGAAAAUCAAGGCUGAGGCGUGAUGACGAGGCACUACGGUGCUGAAGCAACAAAUGCCCUGCUUCCGGGAAAAGCCUCUAAGCAUCAGGUAACAUCAAAUCGUACCCCAAACCGACACAGGUGGUCAGGUAGAGAAUACCAAGGCGCUUGAGAGAACUCGGGUGAAGGAACUAGGCAAAAUGGUGCCGUAACUUCGGGAGAAGGCACGCUGAUAUGUAGGUGAAGCGACUUGCUCGUGGAGCUGAAAUCAGUCGAAGAUACCAGCUGGCUGCAACUGUUUAUUAAAAACACAGCACUGUGCAAACACGAAAGUGGACGUAUACGGUGUGACGCCUGCCCGGUGCCGGAAGGUUAAUUGAUGGGGUUAGCGGUAACGCGAAGCUCUUGAUCGAAGCCCCGGUAAACGGCGGUAGUAACUAUAACGGUCCUAAGGUAGCGAAAUUCCUUGUCGGGUAAGUUCCGACCUGCACGAAUGGCGUAAUGAUGGCACGAGCUGUCUCCACCCGAGACUCAGUGAAAUUGAACUCGCUGUGAAGAUGCAGUGUACCCGCGGCAAGACGGAAAGACCCCGUGAACCUUUACUAUAGCUUGACACUGAACAUUGAGCCUUGAUGUGUAGGAUAGGUGGGAGGCUUUGAAGUGUGGACGCCAGUCUGCAUGGAGCCGACCUUGAAAUACCACCCUUUAAUGUUUGAUGUUCUAACGUUGGCCCCUGAUCGGGGUUGCGGACAGUGUCUGGUGGGUAGUUUGACUGGGGCGGUCUCCUCCUAAAGAGUAACGGAGGAGCACGAAGGUUGGCUAAUCCUGGUCGGACAUCAGGAGGUUAGUGCAAUGGCAUAAGCCAGCUUGACUGCGAGCGUGACGGCGCGAGCAGGUGCGAAAGCAGGUCAUAGUGAUCCGGUGGUUCUGAAUGGAAGGGCCAUCGCUCAACGGAUAAAAGGUACUCCGGGGAUAACAGGCUGAUACCGCCCAAGAGUUCAUAUCGACGGCGGUGUUUGGCACCUCGAUGUCGGCUCAUCACAUCCUGGGGCUGAAGUAGGUCCCAAGGGUAUGGCUGUUCGCCAUUUAAAGUGGUACGCGAGCUGGGUUUAGAACGUCGUGAGACAGUUCGGUCCCUAUCUGCCGUGGGCGCUGGAGAACUGAGGGGGCUGCUCCUAGUACGAGAGGACCGGAGUGGACGCAUCACUGGUGUUCGGGUUGUCAUGCCAAUGGCACUGCCCGGUAGCUAAAUGCGGAAGAGAUAAGUGCUGAAAGCAUCUAAGCACGAAACUUGCCCCGAGAUGAGUUCUCCCUGAGACUUUAAGUCUCCUGAAGGAACGUUGAAGACGACGACGUUGAUAGGCCGGGUGUGUAAGCGCAGCGAUGCGUUGAGCUAACCGGUACUAAUGAACCGUGAGGCUUAACCUU